AUUGAACGCUGGCGGCAGGCUUAACACAUGCAAGUCGAGCGGGGGAAGGUAGCUUGCUACCGGACCUAGCGGCGGACGGGUGAGUAAUGCUUAGGAAUCUGCCUAUUAGUGGGGGACAACAUCUCGAAAGGGAUGCUAAUACCGCAUACGUCCUACGGGCGAAAGCAGGGGAUCUUCGGACCUUGCGCUAAUAGAUGAGCCUAAGUCGGAUUAGCUAGUUGGUGGGGUAAAGGCCUACCAAGGCGACGAUCUGUAGCGGGUCUGAGAGGAUGAUCCGCCACACUGGGACUGAGACACGGCCCAGACUCCUACGGGAGGCAGCAGUGGGGAAUAUUGGACAAUGGGGGGAACCCUGAUCCAGCCAUGCCGCGUGUGUGAAGAAGGCCUUAUGGUUGUAAAGCACUUUAAGCGAGGAGGAGGCUACUUUAGUUAAUACCUAGAGAUAGUGGACGUUACUCGCAGAAUAAGCGCCGGCUAACUCUGUGCCAGCCGCCGCCGUAA
rnacentral:rRNA from 1 species